rnacentral:rRNA from 1 species
CCCCAGCGCCACGAGUGGUUAUCACGAUUAUUGGGCCUAAAGCGUUCGUAGCCGGUUUGGUGCAUCUCUUGUGAAAUUGUACGGCUUAACCGUACAGCGUGCAGGAGACACGACCAGACUCGAGACCGGGAGGCGCAUGAAGUAUGCCGUGGGGACUGGUAAAAUGGGAUAAUCCACGGUAGACUACCGAUGGCGAAGGCAUCAUGCGAGAACGGAUCUGACGGUGAGGAACGAAAGCUAGGGGAGCGAACCGG